rnacentral:rRNA from 1 species
UACAGAGGGGGCAAGCGUUAUUCGGAAUUAUUGGGCGUAAAGGGCGCGUAGGCGGCUUUGCAAGUGGCGGGUGAAAUCCCUCGGCUUAACCGAGGAACUGCCUGCCAGACUGUGAGGCUUGAGACCGGGAGAGGUGAGUGGAAUUCCCAGUGUAGCGGUGAAAUGCGUAGAUAUUGGGAGGAACACCAGUGGCGAAGGCGGCUCACUGGACCGGAACUGACGCUGAGGCGCGAAAGCGUGGGAGCAAACAGG